AUUGACUCAAAAAAUUUAAUUAUUUAACCUUCUUUUUUGAUAAAAGUUAAAAAUAAUAAGAUAAUUUUAUAGCAUUAAUAAUGAUAUAGUUCUUGAUAAUUUUCAAGAUAUUAGGAGGGCGUUUAGGUUGACUUAUAAGUCGAUCAAACCUAACUAUAAGUAGAAAGUUACGAGUAUAUUACUAUUUGAUUUGGUUUAGAAGUGAAAGAAACUACUUAAAAUAAGUCAGAGUAAGAUACCCUUUACUUAUAACUUAUCUACUUAUUUUAAAACUA
rnacentral:misc_RNA from 1 species